CCGUGUAUUGAAGGGAUCAAAUGAUUCUGGGGAUUAAUGGUUUUUUUUUUUUAAUUAUUGAUCCAUAAUUAUUAUACGUCUGGAAAUGCUGUAAACGCAGUAAAGGGUCUCAUGAUUUCUUUACAUAAGUGAGUAGCUCAACUGAUGUGACGUCAUGGUCUGCUGGGAAACCGGAAGUAAAUAACGGGGCUGUUAGUUGGAAGCGCGAAGAAAAGGACCAGCUCUCCAAAUGGUGUCUCUCAUUUGCACUUUACAAGACCACCGGGAUGAUGUCAACUGGUGUGCCUUCUCAGCCCAACUGUUGGCCACAUGUUCCGGGGACAAGACUGUGCGACUGUACAACACUCAAGACUUCUCCGAGCUGUCUUUCUCACCGCUGGAAGGACAUGGUUAUAGUGUCCACUGCUGCUGCUUCAGCCCUUGCGGACAGUUCCUGGCCUCCUGUUCGACAGAUGCCACUACAAUGGUCUGGUCCAUGGCCACGGGAGAGAUUGAGGGGGUCCUGGAGCAUCCUGGUCGCAGCCCCGUCAGGAUCUGUGCGUUCUCUCCUGACUCCACCCACUUGGUUUCUGGUGCAUCGGAUGGUUCUCUGGCUCUGUGGGAUUUCCCCUCCAAGCAGCUUCGUGGGACCAGCUGCGUGAGUGACACAACAAUGGUGGCGUGCUCGUUCAGCCCGUGCAGUCAGAUGUUUGUCACCGGCUCUACCUAUGGAGAUCUCCGUGUGUGGGACCUGCAUAUGAACCAGUGCCAUGCAGAAAAGAAUGCCCAUGACCUUGGAGUCACCUGCUGCACCUUCGCUCCCAGCAUCCAUAGUGACAGUCAAGUUGUACAGUUCCAUUUGGCAUCCUGUGGACAGGACAAUCAUGUGAAGAUCUGGGCAAUAAACAAGAUGAGUUCUGGAGCCUUUAGGGUGCAACUCUUGCACACAUUAACAGGCCACUCAGCUCCAGUCCUCACAUGCGCAUACUCUUCAGAUGGACAGCUGCUUGUUUCGGGCUCUGUGGACAAAACGGUGACAGUAUAUGACGCAGUGAGUCCCUACUACACUACUGUAUCUAUGUUCAACUUCUAUAUGAUACCACUCACAUUUCAUAAUGUUUUAUUCAUGUUACAGAAAAAUGCUGUGUUACUUUACACAUUGAAUCAACAUGAGCGGUACGUGACGGCGUGUUCCUUCUCUCCAACUUCACCACUAAUUGCCACCGGAUCCAUGGACAAGACGGUCAACAUAUGGAAGGUGGAAGAUGGAUGCAGUGGCCAUGCUGGGAAAUCACUGCCUGGACAGUCUUCUCUGACAUCAUGUGAAGCGUCCACGUCAACAGGCCGGUCCAAGCUGCUGGUCAGUGAUUGGUCAGAGCAGGACGUAUCCGUGUGGCUGCUGGAGGAGGGGCUGGAGGGGUUGGUGGACACAUUCAAGACCAACAACAUUGAUGGGAUGGAGCUGCUCACUCUCACCAAGGAAAUGCUGGCGUCAGAACUGCACAUAGAAUCAGUGGGGCUGCGCAGCAAAGUCCUGAGAAAAGUGGAGGAGCUGAGGAGUGAGUCGGCAUGUGCUGGUGUUCCUGAUGAGUUCCUGUGUCCAAUCACCAGGGAACUGAUGAGAGAACCGGUCCUCGCUGCCGAUGGAUACUCCUAUGAAAGGGAGGCCAUCACCAUGUGGAUCAACACCAAGAACCGUUCCAGCCCAAUGACCAACCUCCCCUUGCUGACAACUCUGCUCACCCCCAAUCACACUCUGAAGAUGGCCAUCGCUCGGUGGAGGUUGAGCCACUAGCAGCCUCUACCACUGUUGUCACCACAGUGUCAGACACAAGCAUGACACUCACUGCAUCAGCGUCUCCAUUAAGGGCAGCGAGAUCGAGAGGAGUGCGUCCCUGCCUGUCAGCUUGGUUCAGGUCUGCGCCGGCGUCCACCAAAGGCUGCAGCACACCUCUGUGGCCUUUCAUGCAGGCCCAACUCAGUGCUGUCAGACCCUCCUGAUCCACAGCAGAUAGAGAGGCACCUAAAAGACACCAAACCAUACAAAUGUUUAAAGGUUCAGAUAUGUUAUACUGAUGCCAGGUCAGUCUAUCACCUUUGGACAGUAGCAGCUCGACAGAGCUGAUGUGGCCUUCAGAGGCAGCCAGCAUCAGCGGCGUACGGCCCUGCUUGUCGCACACACUGACAUCUGCGUUGUGUUUCAGCAGCAACUCUGCUACCUGAAACAGGAAGGGAAAUCAAUUGUUGCUUGAAGGCAAUAGCUUGUGUGUUUUCACCUGUGUGUGUCCGUGUUUGGCUGCGCUGAGGAGAGGAACCAUUCCUCUGCGGUUUGGCACCUCCAGCCCAGCCCCUCGGUCCAGAAGGAGCACGCACACCUCCGUCCUCCCCCUCCCUGCAGCUGCACUCAGCACUGAGAGACAGAAAGAGCGUACAGAUGAGACGGGGUGGAGCAGAUGCUAGAGUGAGUGUUUACUAUUAUUUGUACAAAAAACACAAUCUCUGAGCAUGAUUUGCACAUCCAUGAUUCAUCCUCAGACAAAAUGUUGCUGGUUCCACUCAUUAGCUAAAGAAAGCACUUGGUGAGCCCAAUGUGUAUGCAUGUGUCUGUCAUCAUUACCUGUGAUAACAGUGCCAGCGUUCAUUCAAAUGUGAACAUUUGAGAGGCUGCGUCAUGCAAGCAAGAUUUAUAGCUCAGCACUAUUGGACCAGAGAGGACUGUGUAAUAGAAUUACACUGUAAUGGAGCUGGAAGCACACAGCACAGACAUCCUCGGACAUGCUUUCAGGAAAUGGACCUAACAGAAUUUGCCAAGCUGCACUUCAGCAUCUGUGAUGAAGAGAGAGUCGUGAGCGUCCAUCUGCACUGCCAGAUGUUCAUCUUCCAAGUCCAGCAAGCUCUUCACCACCUGCAGAGAAAAAGCAAUUUACGUGUAGUGUCCUGGAUUGAUGUUUUGCUGUGCACAGACAAACAAUACAUAACCAUCGAAAAAUAGCAAAUGGCAUCUGGUGAGUACUGUGCACCAAGCACACACACACACACUGUGCUCUACAUAAAUGAUGAGUUUCACAAUGACACAGUAGUGUUGUGUACCUGUGUGUGUCCUACACUGGCUGCGGCUGUUACCGCCUGCUGUACGGCCUGAUUUUUCCCAACCAUAGUCUCGCACUGCUGUGGAUCAGUGGGAUUCUCGGGGGCCCAAUCCUGCCCCAGCAAAAUGUUGAUGAUCUCUGUGUGGCCCUUCAGUCCAGCAUGGACCAGUGCACACUGGCCGUUCUUAUCAGCAUGGCCCACCUGGCACACAGAGGGACACACAAGACGGAUUUACAGUGGUCCUGGCCAAUGCGUCCAACACACUGGCCUAGAUGAAACCUGCUGGUGUCAUCUGUGUUCCCAGAAUAGACUCUUAAAUAAAAGCAGGACUGGUGUGAUGGUACUGGAAAACAGACUGUGAUUCUAGCCCACAUCCUCUCACUGUGAACACGUGAUGUGACCUACCUUGGCCCCUUUCUUGCAGAGCAGGCUGACGACGUCAGUAUGUCCCGCAGCGGCCGCCAAACAGAGAGGUGCCAUGCCGCUGUCGGUGGUCCCGUCUACUGCAGCACCCAUUUCCAUUAACAAGGCGACCAUCUCCGCAUGUCCCAGCUGGGCAUGGAUGGCCAGGAUGGGGGCGUGUCCUACCACCUCCGUGCACCAGCUCACGUUAGCACCACCUAGCAUCAACAGACGACUGACCUGCAUGGUGUUAAGAGAAGGGGAUCCGUCAGUGUAAGAACCCAUGAAGAUGCAGUAAACCUCCCUCCGUGAAUGUUGUAAUGUUCUCAUUUUAUUGAAGUGGCUUCAAAGAGUGACACAUCGUUUUCGGGUUUAUUGAGUAUUAGGUUACACUGCGUUGUCUGCUUUAACUGAUAUUAACGGGAUGCUAAUAAAGGCUGUAAAAGUAACCCAAUUUAAAAAAACAACCAACUUCACUAAAAGAACAGGAUUUAUUGCACACAUGAGUGUGAAUGCGUGUUUUAUGUGUGAAAUGUAGGUCACCUUGAUGUUAGGUGUGUACAGGUUCCUUAGAGAGGCCAGUGCAGCUGAGAGGCUGUCUGUGCUGCAGUUCACCCACAUGGCCUGCAGGACGCUGGAGGACACACCCGUCUUCUUACUCAGACCCUGUGAAGAAAAAAGAAGGAAAUUAAGCAAGGUAGACAUGGACAUGGAUUUUCAGAUCAUACAUGAAUGCGGAACUUGUUUUUUUUUUUUAAUAAUUUUUUUAGUGCUAUUAAUGACAUAUACUGUACACUGCCGGUCAAAACACUCCAAUUUGUCUGGGGGAAAAACCUACAUUUGUAAGUGUUAAGAUGGUCUGUCUCUCUUCCAUUGUUAAUUCCUUUUUUUCUUGCCAUUUUUGUCGCAACAAAUGACUUUCUCCAGUACAAUGCUGUUCAACUGAUGUUCACGAGGCUAUAGUACCACAUUGUCUUCCGAACACUGUUUUUAUGCAGACAGAGGCGGUGGUAAGUACUCCAGAACUUGGGACACCUGUAGGAAUUAGUUGCAUCAACUGCCAAGGCUUGAUCAACCUCUGUUUCUUUAAAUGGUUGACCCAUUUUGUGGUCCCUGAAACAGGCCUUUUUGUAUAAUUCUGAAAUAGACAUUAUUUUUCAGUUUUGGGUAACCUUCCUUUGUUUUUUUUUGUUGUUUUUUUUUUUACCUCUGGCACUUCACCACUAACCUUUGUACCAUUUAAAGCUAUUCACUGGACUUGAACAACUUGAAUUUCAGUAAAAAAAAAAAAAACUGGAAAAAUUGGGGUGUCCCAACACUUGGCAAACUUUGCCUUUGUGGAGGUAUUUGCACUCUUGUGUGCUGUUGUUAAUGAACGUCAUCCAAAAUAAUAUGACUCUCCAUAAAGCUAUGAUUUCAUAUAGUAUUGUACAAGAAAUGUGAGGAAACAAGAAUUAUACAUCAGAGGCUCAAUUUACAACUUUGACUAGGAUCUUGUCUUAGUCCAAUCAUGUCAUAUGCAUUUGUGAUAACACAAUGGAUACCUUGAAUAUGUGAGCUUUGAGGAUGUGGUGUCCCAGUUCCAUGGUCUGCUGACGGUUCAACUUGCCCUCCUGUCUGGAGAACAUGAACGCCAGGAGAGCAUGGCCGCUCCUGUACAGACAUAGAUGUGGUGUUAGUCAGUGGCAGGCGGCCAUGGCCAUCGACGCCUUCUCUGCUGGCCAACAUUUACAACUUAAAUUCUAGUAUUUGUUCCAUGAAAUUGUAUUAUUUUAUUCCCAACAGUCUGUUAUCUUCAUUUUGAAGUGUGUCUCUUGGCUGCACUGCUUCCAGUAGUGUAUCGGUAUGUCACAAGCUUUUGUCCAAUCAGAUUUCAGCCUGUCGAUGUAAUUUGCCCAGGGCCUUCAGAAUCAGGAGUCCUUCCUAAAAGACAUUUAGCCUCUAACAAAUAAACAAGGCACAGCUACCUUGGUUUCAGGUGGGUCCAUGACCAUCAUUACAUUUGAAUGGAAUGCUAUGGGAUAGCACCUAAAUGAUAAUCGUUUGCGGGCAGAGGCCACACUCCAUUGUAUCCCUGGAUACAUGCCUCCUUUUAGAGGAUAAAUCCACUGGUUCUCAGACUAGAGCUGUCCCAUCUCGUCUUUGAGCAUGAAGUGAUGAAGCCUGCUCGGAGGCAACCUCAACAGUCUAGUUUUGAUCGAUUCAAUGCCCUGAGACUACUCAUAUAGUGUUAUCUGCUCAGACAUUUGUUGGAAAGUUGCAUAGCCAGGUGAAAUCCACACUAUUGCACAACUCGACUGGGGUACACGGCUCACUGGCAGUCACUGGUGGAAAUAACAUAAUGCGCAAAGUUAUGAGCAAAAAUGUAAGAAAUGUAUUCAAAGAUAAAGGGUUAAAUGGGUUUUAGUAAUAAUGGUGUUGUAGUGACAUGGCAGGUAUUAUAGAGUUGGUUGGCUCAGUGGAUAAUGAUGCUGGUGCUUGAUACGAGAGGACCUGUGUUCAAAUCCCUGUCAGAGUGAUUCUGACAUAAUUUUAACAAUACUGGUCCUAGAGAAAAAUUCUGGCCCUUGGACAAAUAUAAUUGAGGGCUCCUGCUGUAAAGCCACACCUUGUUAUAUUGUGUUUUUGUAUAUUAAUGAUGGUUUGUAUAAUUGUGACGGCUGGUGGAUGAAGUCAGUUAAGCCCUCGCUGAAGGGCAGGUACAAAAUGCACCGCCUGUCACUGUAUUUACUUUAAUCGAACAAAUAUGACCUUUCAUUAGGCCUAAAAUGUGUUUGGUGCCAGAUCAGGAACGUUUUUUUGUUGUGACUUUUUGCAUCACCUUGGGUCACAGAGGAAAUCUGUGCUUUCUCCAUCUGCUCUCCAGACCAGCCACUCUCUGAAGGAGGGGUGACACAGCAUGCGUGUACCAUCUCUGCGUCUCACCUGUAAAAACAUGAGCAGGACACAACCAACGUGCUAAUAAGAGGACAUCUCAAACACAUCUUUAUUGUGUCAUUAAUAGUGUACAUUAGCUGUUUUAACAUCUUUGUUGUAUGCAUGUACAUGACAAUAAAUCGAGAAUCUUAAGCCUAAAUCGUUACAGGAGUCCACCCAGAUAUUUGAGACAAAAGUGUUUAUCAUUCUUUGUCCUUCCAUGCAGUGGUAUCACGAGUCUCACCAUGAAUCCAGCCAGACUGUCUAAUCUCUGCUGGAAGUCCUUCCACUCCAGCUCCCCCUUCACACUGCCCGCAUUCAGCGCCCGGAACAUUUGUUCAUCCGUCAGUGGGUGCAACGACGCCAGUGCCACAUUUAGCACCGGAAGCACUCGCUCAAAGACGUCCUUGUCUGGGAAGCUCACGUGACACAUCAGCAGGUACACCUAACAGAUGUUCACCAGUUAAAAUGACAGAUGGUUACACAAGAUGAAUCCAAUGAAAGUCAAAUCAUACCAUUAAGUUACAGGUAUUUAGUGCACCGCUAUUUGUGUGUGUGUGCACAGCACUUGCUCGUCUACUGGCCUGCUUCAUACUGUUGAUUACUUAACAUCAAAAAGCAUCAGUCAUUUGCUGGGAGCUAUUUUAGUUUCCUUUAUUAAUAUUUUAUCCUUGAUUAUAGAUUUGUGAAGUUAGGUUUUUUUUACUGUCUGGUGGAAAAUAUUUUAGAAUGAUGGUAGUUCCUGUGCAGUGCUUUAAUUAAAACUGGGAAUCAUUUAUCAACCGUUCUUAAAUUCUUACUAAUGCACUUUUUCCACAACCAAUAUCUGGGAUU